AUGGGAAAGGCUUUUCCCGCCUCCGGGGCCCCUCAGGCGGAUGGCGGCGGCCGGGAGAGGAGGAGGCUGCGCGGGCAGCCCAGAGUUCUUCUAGGAUGUGACCAUGGAGUGCCCGUCGCUGCCAGUGACCUCCUGGCUCCUCAGAAGCCCCAGAGAGCCGUGCGAUGUCACCGUGGAAGCCCUGAGAGUUCAGGCUUGGACACCUUUGGAAUGACGCUGUAGAUCCUGUGAGUGCCUGUGACAUCACGGCUGCUCAGGAGCAUGGAAACUUCAGGAACCCCUGUGAGUGCCUGUGACAUCACGGCUGCUUAGGAGCCUGGAACUUCAGGAACCACUGUGAGUGCCCUGUGACAUCGCGGCUGCUUAGGAGCAUGGAGAUUUCAGGAACCCCUGUGAGUGGCCUGUGACAUACACGGAUGCUCAGGAGCAUGGAAACUUCAGGAACCCCUGUGAGGCCUGUGCACAUCACGGCUGCUCAGGAGCAUGGAGACUUCAGGAACCCCUGUGAGUGCCUGUGACAUCACGGCUGCUCAGGGAGCAUGGAAACUUCAGGAAACCUGUGAGUGCCUGUGACAUCGCGGCUGCUCAGGAGCAUGGAAACUUCAGGAACCCCUGUGAGUGCCUGUGACAUCACGGCUGCUCAGGAGCAUGGAAACUCAGGAACCCUGUGAGUGCCUGUGACAUCACGGCUUUGCUCAGGAGCAUGGAAACUUCAGGACCCCUGUGAGUGCCUGUGACAUCACGGCUGCUCAGGAGCAUGGAAACUUCAGGAACCCC